GCUUAACACAUGCAAGUCGAGCGAGAAUCGUUUAUUGAAGGCUUCGGCUGGAAAUAGAUGAGGAAAGCGGCGAACGGGUGAGUAACGCGUGGGCAACCUGGCCUUAAGAAAAGGAUAGCCCCCGGAAACGGGGAGUAAUACUUUAUGAGAAUGAGAGAGGGCAUCCUACUUUCAUUCAAAGCGCAAGCGCUUAAGGAUGGGCCCGCGUAUCAUUAGCUAGUUGGUGAGAUAACAGCCCACCAAGGCAACGAUGAUUAGCCGGUCUGAGAGGGCGAACGGCCACAUUGGAACUGAGAGACGGUCCAAACUCCUACGGGAGGCAGCAGUGGGGAAUAUUGCGCAAUGGAGAAGAACUCUGACGCAGCAAUACCGCGUGAGCGAAGAAGGUCUUCGGACCGUAAAGCUCUGUUGUCAGGGAAGAAGAAAAUGACGGUACCUGAUGAGCAAGUCCCGGCUAACUACGUGCCAGCCGCCGCCGUAAGAC
rnacentral:rRNA from 1 species